GACGAACGCUGGCGGCGUGCCUAAUACAUGCAAGUCGAACGAAGCUGUUUUAACUGGUGCUUGCACCGACUUAAACAACUGAGUGGCGAACGGGUGAGUAACACGUGGGUAACCUGCCCCAAAGCGGGGGAUAACAUUUGGAAACAGAUGCUAAUACCGCAUAAUCACAGAAACCACAUGGUUUCUGUGUCAAAGAUGGUUUCGGCUAUCACUUUGGGAUGGACCCGCGGCGUAUUAGCUAGUUGGUAAGGUAAUGGCUUACCAAGGCAAUGAUACGUAGCCGAACUGAGAGGUUGAUCGGCCACAUUGGGACUGAGACACGGCCCAAACUCCUACGGGAGGCAGCAGUAGGGAAUCUUCCACAAUGGACGAAAGUCUGAUGGAGCAACGCCGCGUGAGUGAAGAAGGUUUUCGGAUCGUAAAACUCUGUUGUCAGAGAAGAACGUGUGCGAGAGUAACUGUUCGUGCAGUGACGGUACUAUAUGAAUAAGCACCGGCUAACUCCGUGCCAGCCGCCGCAGUAA
rnacentral:rRNA from 1 species